rnacentral:misc_RNA from 1 species
GAUGAAGAACGUAGCGAAAUGCGAUAAGUAAUGUGAAUUGCAGAAUUCAGUGAAUCAUCGAAUCUUUGAACGCACAUUGCGCCCGUCAGUAUUCUGGCGGGCAUGCCUGUUCGAGCGUCAUUACGCCCCUCAAGUCCCCUGUGGACUUGGUGUUGGGGAUCGGCGAGGCUGGUUUUCCAGCACAGCCGUCCCUUAAAUUAAUUGGCGGUCUCGCCGUGGCCCUCCUCUGCGCAGUAGUAAAACACUCGCAACAGGAGCCCGGCGCGGUCCACUGCCGUAAAACACCCAACUCUUCUGAAGUUGACCUCGAAUCAGGUAGGAAUACCCGCUGAACUUAAGCAUAUCAAUAAGCGGAGGA